GUUCACUUCCUUAUUGGCGGACGGCAGUUGCUCCAUGAGUUCCCCCACGACUGCCUUGAUCCAUGGAGGAGGAGGAUGGGUUCGGUAGUCAAGUUGGUUAGAGCCCACCCUGAUUAAGGUGGAGUUCGCAAGUUGGAUUCUGCCCAGACCCACCAUUUUCAGGGUGUUCCCGGUAGAAUUCCGGGGCCUUAGUUCAGUUGGGAGAGCCCUGCCCUUCCCGCCAGGAGUCCACGGGUUUGAUCCCGUUGGGUUCAACCAUUCCGAAUGGCCACCACCUUUUAAGGCUUGGAAAUGACCAUUCCACCAGGCCGGUGUUGAAUGUUGAUUUUUAGUCUUUUGAUUAGAUCGUUCUUUAAAAAUUUGGGUAUGUGAUAGAAAGAUAGAUUGAAGGUUACUUUCACUGGUAACGGAUCAGCUUAAGGUAAAAUUUUUAAGUGCUCUUAGAGCAUGCGAAUUUUCGGCGAAUGUCGUCUUCACAGUAUA
rnacentral:misc_RNA from 1 species